rnacentral:rRNA from 1 species
UACGUAGGGUGCGAGCGUUAAUCGGAAUUACUGGGCGUAAAGCGUGCGCAGGCGGUUCGUUAUGUCCGAUGUGAAAGCCCCGAGCUCAACUUGGGAAUGGCAUUGGAAACUGGCGGGCUGGAGUGUGGCAGAGGGGGGUGGAAUUCCACGUGUAGCAGUGAAAUGCGUAGAGAUGUGGAGGAACACCGGUGGCGAAGGCGGCCAUCUGGACGGAUACUGACGCUGAGACGCGAAAGCGUGGGGAGCAAACAGG